CUCUCUUCUCUACCGUCUCUGUUCUCUCGAAUUGUAUAGGUAAUGGCAAAUUUCCGUGAGUUGAUUUUUAAUUUUUGAAAAUCCAGUUGAUAUUGUGAGCUUAAUUACACUUGGAUUGAUGUUGUAGUCGAAUUGUAUAGGUAAUGGCAAAUUUCCGUGAGUUGAUUUUUAAUUUUUGAAAAUCCAGUUGAUAUUGUGAGCUUAAUUACACUUGGAUUGAUGUUGUAGUCGAAUUGUAUAGGUAAUGGCAAAUUUCCGUGAGUUGAUUUUUAAUUUUUGAAAAUCCAGUUGAUAUUGUGAGCAAAUGAGACAAUUAUUUUCAAUAGUCUUAGGAGAUGGCCUUGUGCUGGAGAUGGGAUUUUGAUAGCCUUAAGAGAUGGUCUUGUGCUGGAG
rnacentral:lncRNA from 1 species